rnacentral:sRNA from 1 species
GUUGCCUGGGCCAGGCGCAGUACAGAGUAGAGGGAGCUGUGUCUAAGUCCCAGCUCUGCAUCACCUAACUAGUGGCUUGGCCCCUCUGGACCCCCUGUUCUCCCUGUUCUCACUUUAUUACAUAUAAAGUAUGUAAUACUUUAUAUGUAAUAAAGUGAAGGGAUUGGGCCAGAUGCCCUUGUAAGACCCCUUCCACCUCUACUGUGUGACUGCCCCAUUUUCCUCUUGUGCAUGGAGGGCCCUUCUGAGCCGAUUCCAUGGUUGCUAGCAUGUUCACAGUAUCCCCAGCGUCUGUGUCCUGGCUCUGUGGAUCCCUCAGGAGACCAUUGCUGUGCUGUGUGUUCCAGGGGAUCCUUUCAGAUGAUCAUGGGCUGGCCGCUGCCCUCUGGAGAACCUUCUUCAACCGGAAAUGUGAAGACCCUCGACAUCUUGAAUUGCUGGUAGAGUAUGUGAGGAAACAGAUACAGUACCUGGACUCCAUGAACGGGGAGGAUCUGCUUCUGACAGGGGAGGUGAGCUGGCGCCCUCUAGUGGAGAAGAAUCCUCAGAGCAUCCUGAAGCCCCAUUCUCCCACUUACAACGACGAGGGACUUUGAUGGGCUGGGCCCUCCCCACGGCCGGCCAGCUGGCUUCGAGGAACCGCCAGGAGUGAAGUGCCUGUUGGUCCAGGACCCUGCAGAAAGUGGCCUGAACUGACCUCUGAACAGCAUCUGUCAAAUACCUGGCCCCAUUUGUGUUGAGUUUCCUCUUAGUGUGCCCAGGAGUCUGAUCUGCUGGGGUACAGGGCUGGGAGAACCCCUAGCUCUCCCGGGGUGUCUUCUCCCUUAGGGGAAGCCCCGAGUGAGAGUCCCCCAGCACACAGUCCCCAACCCCCUCCAGCAACUACAUGUGACUGACAGCUUUUCCCAAAGGCCGAGGAAGGGGUGGCAUAGGUUCAAAAGGGAAACCCCCCAGGGCCUGCUGUGGCCUAGGAGCAGAUUGUAAUGCUGUGGAGUUGGGACGGUGAUCACGCGUUGUCCCUCGGCUUUCAGCCAUGGGGUUGAGUUGGCCAUUAAAAGAAACAGAGACUUCUCUUUGCCAUGGCCCUUCUUUAUUCCAGGGACUUAGAAAUUUGCCUGAGAUGGUGGACGCGGUAGUGAGGGCACCAUGCAGUUCAGUUAGAGACAGAGAAAGGGAAGAGGCUGGGAUGGUCUCUGCUACUCUUGCCUCUAGUUCAUGGAGAUGUGUCUCUGUUCAGGCCAAGGCACAGCCAGCAAGGCCCCUCGUCUGGGACCCAGGAGGCCUCUGAUGACCAAGGGCUUUCACAUCCUAAGUCAUUUGGAAGGAGGCCUUGAGAACAAAGUCACCUUUGUCACUCCCAGUGAACUGAAUGAGGAACGUGCUGUCUCCUGUCUUGGCCUCCCCUUUCAUGAGAUAUUGGGGAGAAGAGAACAUUCUUCCUGGCUUAGUUGUAGCAGACCCAGACCUGUGCCCAGCUUUGGUCCCCCUCCCCAACUUCUGAAGCACGUGCUGCAGAGCCACCUUGGUCUGAGCAGCUGAGGACCAGCCCCUCCUCCCUCAGUGCGGGUCAUCUCUUGGGGGAUUUUCUUAAAGUGAAGAAAGGGGGUGGGGAACCAUAUUGCCCCUCCCUCCCCCAUCAAACUUCCUUCAUUUAACUUGCUAUAAAAUGAGUCAUAUAAAGAAACUCUAUAUGGGUGAGGUAUAUCCCACUUCUGUGAAAACAUUACAAAUCAAACCGCCUUCUCUCAGUUUAUUUAAGAUGCUUUUGUUGCGAUCGGAGCUCUAGAGUGAAGCCUCCUGUGUGUGUGUGAGAUAAUAACACCUUGUAACUCAUUACAGCUGGGCACUAUUUACAUAAACCAGAGCUGAGCCAGGCAGGAAUUUGCUGAUUAAUUUAUUUUUAAUGGAGUGAAGUAUACCAUGCACCAAAAUAAACUUUACUGUGUGUACCUAACUGCUCCUGGAA